GCCUGGGUGGCUCAGUCGGUUGAGCGUCUGACUUCGGCUCAGGUCGUGAUCUUGUGGUUCAUGGGUUCGAGCUCCACAUUGGGCU
rnacentral:tRNA from 1 species